rnacentral:rRNA from 1 species
UGGGGAAUCUUGCACAAUGGGCGAAAGCCUGAUGCAGCGACGCCGCGUGAGGGAAGAAGGCUUUCGGGUUGUAAACCUCUUUCAGGGGGGACGAAGCUCCUCGGGUUAAUAGCCCAGAGGGUGACGGUACUCUCAGAAGAAGCCCCGGCUAACUACGUGCCAGCAGCCGCGGUAAUACGUAGGGGGCAAGCGUUGUCCGGAUUUAUUGGGCGUAAAGAGCGUGUAGGCGGCCAUUUAGGUCCGUUGUGAAAACUCGAGGCUCAACCUCGAGACGCCGGCGGAAACCGAGUGGCUAGAGUCCGGAAGAGGAGAGUGGAAUUCCUGGUGUAGCGGUGAAAUGCGCAGAUAUCAGGAGGAACACCCGUGGCUAAGGCGGCUCUCUAGUACGGUACUGACGCUGAGACGCGAAAGCGUGGGGAGCGAACAGG